UCCCAGCCAAUCCGGCCGUGCCGUUUAGAACACAUGCAGAAAGCUGGCCAGACGUGAGACGCCUGCCCGGCCGUGUCUGAAGGGGUGGGGUGCCCGAAUCCGGGCUUUAAAGAGAUAGAAACAAUGAUUUGAUGUGGUGGUUGAAACCUAGGCACAGAGAGGCAUAUGCAGCCGGGCUGGCCCGAACUGCUAAAAUACAAAAGAAAGAGACUCGCUUUCCUUCCUUUCCUCAUUGCCCGAGCAAUUGUCGUCGGACGCAGCCCUGCUCUUGGCCGGAACUGACCAAAGAUGAAUAAACUGUGGCAGAAAGAGGAGAAAGUGACUUGGCCAACAUCACACACCUAUUAAAGUGCCUGAGGUACAGGGAGUGAAAUUUCUGACCUUGGCAAUUUCAAAGUCUUGAAGUGUACUGCUGUUAUAGGCAGGCCAGAAGGAAAGCAUCAUCUAGAGUGAUCUUCAAGACUUUGGCACCCUGCUUACAAUCUCAGCCACUUUACUACAGACAACCCUGAUGCAUAAUGGCCUUUGCCAAAGGAGCCAUAGCCUGUCUUGUGGCUCUGAUGUUCCUGGUCUGCCUCAUUGACUCACUAGGUUAUCAUCACCACCUUUCAUUAGGAGGCCCUCUAUGAACUGCAGAAAUGUGGCAUCAGCCACAUUGCAGACUAGAUCAUCAAGAUCUGAGAUUUGAACUUUUUGAAGAAGGAGGAGGGGAGAAAAAU